rnacentral:lncRNA from 1 species
GGUGGGGGCGUGAGCAUGUACCACGCCCACUUUGCGUGCUGGGGCAACACCUCCAGUGAACUGAGGGAUAGUGGAGUCGGACAGCUCUGUCUAUUUGGAGUAAAAUCCGGUUCUUAGCUGUGUGGUCCAUGUGGUCUCCGGACCUAGGCUUUCUGAUUCACCCUGAGUCUCUCUUACUCAAAAAAUUAGGGCUCUUAAAACGUGAACUGGGGCUUUCCUGUCCCCUCAAGCUCCUCCUGGACUAG